GACGAACGCUGGCGGCAUGCUUAACACAUGCAAGUCGAACGGUGAAGCCCCAGCUUGCUGGAGUGGAUCAGUGGCGAACGGGUGAGUAACACGUGAGCAACCAGCCCCUGACUCUGGAAUAAGCUCUGGAAACGGCGUCUAAUACUGGAUACGAGUAGUGUCCGCAUGGGCACUUUCUGGAAAGUUUUUCGGUUGGGGAUGGGCUCGCGGCCUAUCAGCUUGUUGGGUAGGUAAUGGAUCACCAAGGCCACGAAGCGUAGCCGGCCUGCGCGGACGACCGGCCCCGCUACGCCGGGGCUAAGGCACAGACCACAACGGGAGGCAGCAGAGGAGAAGAUUGUACAAGGGGCGAAAGGAUGGUGCAGCGCAGCAGCGUGGGGGAUGAGGUCCAGCGGGUAGGAAACCUAUGUCAGCUUGGAAGAAGUGAUAGUGACGGUACCUGCAGAAGAAGCACCGGCUAACUACGUG
rnacentral:rRNA from 1 species